AUUUCAAUCACGUUAUACUUGUCCCUUCCUCCGUUCUUAAACCAUAUUUCGUCAAGAUUAAAUCACGAUACAAAUAUUCGAGCAUAUUUUUGCGACUUAAUCACGUAACUGCAUUCGACUUCCAAAAUUACAUUUACCGACUUCCCCGAGUCGGUUAAAGCCCUGUCUACGUAAUCUAACCUUCAGUUGGUGUAAAUUUCAGAAUUUAGAGUCUCGUCUGGUCGGGUAAUGCGAGAAAUAAAAUCUGUUCAAGGACAUACAAAUAGCCUGUGGGUUAAAGUCUCGCUGAACGUUGUUUAGCUUGUGUCACGUCAACGCUUCGCAGCCAAAGUAACGUGUUUCGCGCCCUUGAUAACCAAUGAGUGGGCAACCCUAUCAAGAGACAAUAUACCCAACUGGUUUGACAUGUUAUUGCAUAUGCGCAUAUCAUCAUGGACACUGCACUAGGCAUACUCAAUGUUUGGUGCUGGAUUAGCUAUCGACAAAUAACUGGUUCAGAGCGGUUGGCCAAGACGGAAUGACGAGAAGCUACGAUCUACGAAUAGCUCGUGGAGAUCGAUGGACGGAAACGAGUUUUGGAAUGAGUGACUCGUUUCAUGAGAUAAACGAUAGACCAUAAUGACGCCCCGAACUGACGUUUGUUUAUGUUUCCUCUGAGUUCUUUUUCGAAGAAGGCUUUGGCUUCAUUGUUCAAAUUCCGACGUGUCGAAAAUACGGGAUGUCCAACGGAAAGAAUUUUGAAAGAAACAAUCUGGAAACAAAAAUGUCGUACUCUUAGCUUGCUAAACGACUCGCCAGACACAGCCAGAGAAAGAAGAAAAAAAAAAUUAUUUACCAUAAAUGAUUAAUUUUUUUAAUUCGUUUCAAUCAAAUCUUUAAUCUUUUCCAGUGGCCGAAUCGAAUUCGACAGAGAUUAUUUUAGCUUCGUUUGGUGCAGAGUACAUUUUCUCCUGUGACACAUUACGAUCUGCAAAUUAAGCAGCGUUGAAAAGCAAUACAGUCGAGAAUUAAGUGAUUAUUAAGUGAUUUUUAAAAAAUGUUUAUCUCCUUUUGUUGUUACAGGAAUCAAUUUGUCCACACUUUAUCAGUCAAUGAGGAUAUUGAGCCAAAGGAUACCUUAGACAACUGAUUUACAAAGGCCUGAGAUUUCUCUGUAACAUCAUGGUUAUGCUAGAUAAAAUGAAGCAGAUAAUGUUUUGAGUGCUGCUCUUGAAUUUGGUGGACAUGGGGCCAUGGUUUGGGACAGUAUUCUUCACUCCCUACGUAGCUUCGGAUGCAUCGCGAUAUUUUUAUUCCGCUGAAAUCAAAUGAAGAGCUUGAUAGUUGGAUACCAUAGGCAUGCCAUAGGUUUGGGAUUUGUAGUCAUGAUCCAGAAAAACCCUUGCCCUUAUUUUGAGUACCAAAGAUGGUCCCGUUUUCUGAAAAUGGCACGAUGGAGGCUGCAAUCACUAGUAAAUCGUUUCAAUGCUGUUUUACGACAUGGUACUUUUGCAAAGAGUUCAGAACUUCAGAAAACGACCGUUUUGCCAUGAAGAAAAGAAGGCUACUGGGAUUCCACUCAUUGAAUUGGAUCUAAACAACACGGCUUUUAUUUGAGCUUGCGGUAAAUCUUAAAAGGAAUUUAUGAAAUCUCAAAGAUGGGUUACAGAUGCGAAAUCGGGACAGUUUUCUGCUUUUAGUACUGUGAUGGAGCAAAGGACUCCCAAGGAGAAAUCCUAUGAAUUGGAAGAAGAUUGAGUCGCAGAUGCAUGAUGCUUCCUUUUUCAGCGGAGGACUUAAUUUCGUUGAGGAAGAAUAAAUCCUUAUACUAGUAGACGGCUAUGAGGAUUGGUACGCUUGCCAUUGUUAACUUGGAUUUCAAUGAUAAAGGUUCAAACAUAAUCAGUGCCUUUCGAAACCUCUAGUGCCUGGCGGAACUGCUGCGUUUUAUUCAGCUGUGGAUGAAGAAGAUGAUUCAUUUCUGGGACAAGAAGUCGACGUUCUAGCUGCUGAAGUUGAUUUCGUCACAUUGAUGCUGGAGAGCGGAGACGCUGAAAAAGUGAUGCGAUAAGGUCUUCUGGGCGAUUACAGUUUGCAGAGGAUUUUUCUGUGUCGUCGUAUAGGAGGAAAGCAGUUGACGAUGAAAAUCGCAAAAGUUAGGCAUUGGUUUCAGUCAUCUUUUUUUCUAGGUAACUGUACUUGUAUAAAGCAACCAAGUCCAAGAAAGCAGAGACAAGCAACCUCAAAGACAUCGUAAGGUUACACCAGAGUCAUAGAUUACAUGAUUCGAGAAUACCAUGUAAAUAAGCCACGCUCCACGUCACUUUUUGCGAACCUUGCUCCCUCCGAAACUGCUGCACCAAGUGGAUUUUGACUAGGAAAGGAUACCCUUUUGCAUUGUAGUGCAUCAGGCCUCCGGAAAAAAUAUGCUCACAUUGUAAAAAAUUGGGUUCGCGAAGAGUGACGCCGGGCGACCAAAGUAGUUUGACCAUGUAGUCUAUGACUUAGCUUUACAUCAGGUAUUCCCAAAGUGGUUUCAGUUGCAAACGGAUGGAUGAUGAACAGUGCAUUUCCAAAUGGAAAUGAUUUUAAUAAGCCAAAAGAAACACCAUCUAGGCUACUAGGGUAGUUCUACAGUUUACAGUUUUCCCAUUCCUUGGUAUGAAGGGUGACAAGGUAGCAUAUACGGUCGGUCACAGAUGACUUCCCUGAUAAUGCAAAAGUUUAUGUGAAAUCUUGGGCUACUUUCAUCGCUUGUUCGUAAUUUCGAUUUUGAAAUCAAUUCAUUUCACUGGAGCUGCUGUUGAUAAGUGAAUACGAUCUUUUCUCUACAAACUCACUGUUAAGUAUUUAUUUUUCUGUUUCUUCUAUUAAGAAUCUUUAUUUUAUUAAAUUCAUGAUAUGCUGGUUUUCUUUUUUCUGUUAAGGUAAUAAAGCAAUUUUGACUGUUCUACAGUCGAAGAAUAUUGGUCAGAUAAAAGUCUCACAUUCACAGAGGAGAGACCCAGUAUUACUAUUUUCUGGUGAUAUUCAGAUCCAAUGAGUGGGUACAGCACUACUCUUAUCCAUUGUGGCAAUUUUUGUUUCCAUACAACUGCCAUUCUAACAUAGCAAGAUUAAGAAAAAGGUAACAAAAAAAAACUUCAAGAAAGUUGGGAAGGUUAAUAGAAUCAGGCUAUUAUUUUUGACCAAUAAUUUGCAAUGUUGAUUGGUGGCUUCCGAUUGUUUCCUUUUGGUAAACAUCCAUCGCCCUCGAAGAGUUGUGGAUAUUCUACGCCUAGGAGUUACAAGCCCGUGAGAUCACCCCAGGAUACGUAUUUUUUCAUGGUUGAAAUUUAAUGUCAGCAUGUUAAAUGGAAAAGAAGAGUCUGUCGGAACGGUUUGCUUUUCUCAUCGAAAUCCACGAAACAUGUGUCAAUGCUCCAUUGUCAUUGCGACAAACGAUGGAUAAAACGGAAGGUUUAGACACGCAUCAUUGAACUGGUCCAUUUCGAAAAAAUAACUGCGUAUCAAAAUAUCGCCGUCAUAAAUUACUCUUGGUUCCAUAUGGGGGAUGCCUCUGUUUUGACCAUAGCUUUCCUGAAUCAAGCUUCAAUGAAUGGAAGAUGUCCGGCUUGCAAGAACGUCAACAUGAUUUGACCUGGCACAUCGAGCAUAGUUCUAAUCGUGCUGAUGGUCCAAUGUUUCACGAUAACUAAGAAAGCAAUAUGGAAGCGUGAAAUUAGUUAUAUGGAUGGUCACGUUCACCGCUAGUUGCUGCUCCGUCCCGAAGAUAAAAUAUUAAAAAUUUUUAUAAAUUUAAGUGCAUAUCUGGGCUCCCUUCUUUUCUGUGGCCCCGUUUCCCCUUGACUUAUGAUAAGCCCGCAGGGGGUCAUGCCCCUACUGUGAUCAGCAGCAA